UACGUAGGGGGCGAGCGUUGUCCGGAUUUAUUGGGCGUAAAGCGCUCGUAGGCGGCUUGUCGCGUCGGAUGUGAAAGCCCGGGGCUUAACCCCGGGUCUGCAUUCGAUACGGGCAGGCUAGAGUUCGGUAGGGGAGAUCGGAAUUCCUGGUGUAGCGGUGAAAUGCGCAGAUAUCAGGAGGAACACCGGUGGCGAAGGCGGAUCUCUGGGCCGAUACUGACGCUGAGGAGCGAAAGCGUGGGGAGCGAACAGG
rnacentral:rRNA from 1 species